rnacentral:rRNA from 1 species
UGGGGAAUAUUGGACAAUGGGCGAAAGCCUGACCCAGCCAUGCCGCGUGUGUGAAGAAGGUCUUCGGAUUGUAAAGCACUUUAAGUUGGGAGGAAGGGCAGUAAGUUAAUACCUUGCUGUUUUGACGUUACCGACAGAAUAAGCACCGGCUAACUCUGUGCCAG